UUUUGAGACUCUCGUGGCUUUCUAGAUCGACAGCUGCGUCCCUGGUCUUUAAAAAGAGGGAAAGACCUUAAUAUCUGAUUUAAAGUCGCUGUCGGCAAAAGUGGGGGGGGGCGUGAUCGGAAACCAGGAUGUAAUACUCGGAGCGGCGGAGCUGAUGAUGCGCUACUGUGUUCAGUUAACCAAAAGGCACACACACAGCAUUUUGUUUGAUUCUCUCUGCAACGGGUCACUGUCAUCCAGUGCGGUAUUUCCCUGAACAUCCGCCGAGGACGGGAGCCUGGGGUGUUGGAGGCAAAGAGGCCGCUUCUAAUUAGGCAAAACUCGAGAAAUCAUGAAGGGCUCCACGCGUUUCCUUACGCGGCUUGACCUGAAUGGCGCGAUUUCUCUGGAUGCCUGGUGGUCCCUAUACUGUUCGUAGCUACUCAUUGUGAAGACACUGCUGUCUGCAAUUUGGAAAGAAAACCUACCGUUUUCAGCAUCUUGAAGAACUAAGCAAGAAAAAAAAUGCCUGUUUUUCCUAAAAUAUCUUUAAGACCUGAAGUUGAGAAGUAUCUUAAAGACGGCUUUAUGGUAGGAGGUUGUAAAUACUUUAGGCAAAGCAGCAGCAGAAAGGAAGUUUGAAACUCUGUUGAAACAUCUGUCACACCCUCCCUCAUUCACAACUGUUAGAGUAAAUACACAUUUAACCUCAGUUCAGCAUGUGAAAACUCUGUUGCUUGAUGAAUUUCAGAAGGUUUGUGUAAAUCUUUUGUUGUAUUCAAUUAGAUUUCUACAUCCUUAGUUGUGCCUCAGUAAAAGUUGAAGAAUGAUAUAUUCUAAUGUUUUUUUUUUUGUUUGUUUUUAUCCGUACCAGGGAUCGAACUCACGACCAUGUGCUUGCAAGGCAGGCGCUUAUGCCGCUGAGCUAAAUCCC
rnacentral:lncRNA from 1 species